GUGUCUCUCAGCCAUAAAGUUAUUGUCCGCCCCUCAGACAUGGAAAGGGUCCCACGUGGUUACAGCACUGUCUCCUCCAGCAUUAGCAAUAGGGGAGAAACUGAUGCUCAUCUAGAGUCGCACGUGCAUUAGGCUUUCCCCAUGUAAAGCAUUGAGUCAAUUAUUUCCUAUGGGGAUUUUGAUGUCCUCGUGCACACUAUGAGGACGUCCAGCAUCGUGUCAAUAAAGGCAAAUAUAGACAGUAUCUUCAAGGGAAAAUCUACCUAAUGCCUCUGGUAGCCACAGUCAGCCACUGUAUCCCUUGGAAUGCCCUGAAAGGGUUAUACUCUAUUGUGCACACAAUAGAGUAUAAAAAAGGUAAGGGACAUCCUAUGCUCCUUAACCACUACAAUUAGCUGUAGUAGUUAUGGUGCCAAGGGUCCUGUAUCACCAUCCAAAAAUAAGCUGUCAAACCAUUUAUGAAUGGUCAUAACGUGAGGACUUCCAGUGUCGUUUAAAACACUUUUCGUGUUUUAAGAACACGGAAGUCCCUCCAGUGGCUCUCUGAUAGACAGCCACUAGAGGAGGACUUAACCCUGCAAGGUAACUAUUGCAAUUCAUAAAAACUGCAAUAAUUACACUUGCAGGAUUAAGGGUAAUGGGAGUUGGCACCUAGACCACUCCAAUGGGCACAAGUGAUCUGGGUGCCUGGAGUGUCCCUAUAAUAAAGUGUAAGGUGAUUAUGUCUUCAUAUACUAGCGGGCAGUGCACAAUCAUGAAAACCAAGCUAUGCAAGAAACACUUUGAUGAAUAAUCAGAAAUUCAUCACACUGAUGUCAUAAGAAGUUUAGCUUACCACCAACAGCGUUGCCAAGUUUGAGCAACUGCACACUCGCAUACAUGGCAGAUAUAGUUGAAACGUAGGGAUAUCCACUAAACCCCUAUGUAGUAAAUAAACCCCAGAACUAGUCUCUUUUACAAGCAUAGUCUCUUGUUUUAAAGCAACACUCAGGAAUAAUUAUACCCAUUCAAUAUGUUCUAACUAUAUGGUAGAUAUUAGUGUGUUUAGUAAUGAUCAAGAAAUUAGGUAAAACCCCUCCUUUUAACUGAUUUUUUAUUUGGACUAGCUGCUCCUUGGCUGCUAGCCUUGUUUUUUCUGCCUAAUAUCUCAACCUGCGUCCAUCCUUGGAAGCUUGCUGAUAACAAGAGAUUCUCUUUAGAAUCAUUGCUUCAUGCCAUCAGAGGCUGGCCAGGGAGCUGGAGAUAUAAUAGUCACUAUUGCCAGGGUAAUCCCCGUGACAUCCAGGCGGCUAGGCGUGGCCGUCCCACAGGUGCCAAAAAGAGGUUUUGAACUUGCGUCCUUCAUCUGCUAUACUGCCUCUAAGCCAGAGCAGAUUCUGUUCUUUUGAAAUAGUUCUAUCCUUGUUACACCUGGCUUUGUCUGCAGCACUAGGGGACUGGACUCCAUCUGUGGCUUAUACCUAUACUUCACCUGAGGCAGAUCGCUAAUCAACCAGGUUUUUAAGCACUGCCUUGCCCUGGGCACUUUGUCAGUUCUUUGAUUUUGGUGACCGUGUGUUGUUCCUGUUUUGUUUCCAGAACUAGUUCUCCAGAUCGACCUUGGCUUCUUCCUCGUUUAUCCUGACCUCUGGCAUCCUCUGACUUUGGCUUAUCCUCGACAAUCCUCCUGCUUGUGUCCUUGUCUGUACCGCAAGUUGGAGAUAAAAAUGGAGAUUCAGUCUUGGUGGUUUCUUACCUGAUCACCUUGGACUGUGUUUAUCUGCAAGGUUAAGCACACAUCUCUGCCUACUGGACUCCCACCUCAGGUAAGACCCUGACAACUGUUCCUGUACCUUCUCCGUCUCAGCAUCUGAGAUUGAACAUGUCUGUGUAUUUCAGGAAUAAUUAUGAAUUAUAAACCAACUCUCAUUCAUAAUUUUUCUUUACUAUGAUUUGUAGUAUGAAUACGACUAAUCUGAGUGUGUAGUGAUCAGAAUGGAAAGCAUUACUUCCAGACGCUUUGGUACUCAGACGCAUGUAUAUUACCAUCGUUAAUCUUCUCAGCACUGAAGGAAAAUCAAUAUGCAGGGCAUUAUUAGGACAGAGAACAGAGCAGCAUUAUAUUCCUUUUACUGCUCCGUAUCUUUGCAUAAUGAUGUCCUGGCUUUCGUUUUUUAAUUAGUGAAAUGAUUACCAAUCACAAUAUACAAUAGCU
rnacentral:lncRNA from 1 species